rnacentral:rRNA from 1 species
GAUGAACGCUAGCGGCAGGCCUAAUACAUGCAAGUCGGACGGGAUUUGGGAGCUUGCUCCUAAUGAGAGUGGCGCACGGGUGCGUAACACGUAUGUAACCUACCUUAAUCAGGGGGAUAGCCUCUCGAAAGAGAGAUUAACACCGCAUAAUAUAUUUUUAUGGCAUCGUAGAAAUAUCAAAUAUUUAUAGGAUUAAGAUGGGCAUGCGGAACAUUAGCUAGUUGGUAAGGUAACGGCUUACCAAGGCUACGAUGUUUAGGGGAUCUGAGAGGAUGACCCCCCACACUAGUACUGAGACACGGACCAGACUCCUACGGGAGGCAGCAGUAAGGAAUAUUGGUCAAUGGGCGCAAGCCUGAACCAGCCAUGCCGCGUGCAGGAAGACGGCCCUAUGGGUUGUAAACUGCUUUUGUACCGGAAUAAACCCUUUUACGUGUAAGAGGCUGAAUGUACGGUAAGAAUAAGGAUCGGCUAACUCCGUGCCAGCAGCCGCAGUAA